rnacentral:rRNA from 1 species
AUUGAACGCUGGCGGCAUGCCUUACACAUGCAAGUCGAACGGCAGCACGGGUGCUUGCACCUGGUGGCGAGUGGCGAACGGGUGAGUAAUACAUCGGAACGUACCUUAUCGUGGGGGAUAACGCAGCGAAAGCUGUGCUAAUACCGCAUAAGCCCUGAGGGGGAAAGCGGGGGAUCGAAAGACCUCGCGCGAUUAGAGCGGCCGAUGCCUGAUUAGCUUGUUGGUGGGGUAAAAGCCCACCAAGGCGACGAUCAGUAGCUGGUCUGAGAGGACGAGAAGCCACACUGGGACUGAGACACGGCCCAGACUCCUACGGGAGGCAGCAGUGGGGAAUUUUGGACAAUGGGGGCAACCCUGAUCCAGCAAUGCCGCGUGAGUGAAGAAGGCCUUCGGGUUGUAAAGCUCUUUUGUCAGGGAAGAAACACCGGCUCUAACACAGUCCGGGAAUGACGGUACUGAAGAAUAAGCACCGGCUAACUACGUGCCAGCAGCCGCCGUAA